GGCGGGGUGCGCGCGGCUCGGGUCUUGGGACGAUCGGAGCUUGUGCCGCGCGCGCUGAGCUCGGUGCAUACCUCGAGCCCGUGCACAGGUGCAUGCCGAGAGCCUGCUGCACCCGCUCCCGGAGCCCGGCCCCCGAGCAGAGCUGGCCUAGCCGCCCGCCCGCCCCUUCCCGGCGCCGAGAGCGCGCGGCGCGCAGAGGCUGCCAGUUAAAGUGCAGGGGGCCAGGGCCCCGCCGCCUUCUCUGUGCGCCCGGCUCCUUCGCUCCUGCGGCGGGUCGGACCCCGUGGCCCAGCGGCCCAGCGGCCCCAGCGGCCCAGGAGGAGCAGCUGAAAGGCGGCGGCCGCCCGACGACUGCGGGCCGGAGCGUAGUGGGUCGGGAGGACCUGGAGCCCCCUUUCCACAGCCGUGAGCCUCAGAAAGAAAAGGGAAGGGACGGGGCCUCCCAAACCUUGUCUACCUCUCCGAGACAGCUGUUGGCUGGAACUUAGUUACGUGGCUUAGUGAUAGGAGUCACCACCCCACCGCUCAGGCUUUCUGUGACUUCACCUACAGACUCCACAGAGCAAAAGUAUUCUGCCUGAGCCCAGGGGCCAGAGGGUGUGGCCUUGUCUUCUCCAUCCAGAUACCAUCUUUCAGAAGGCAGUGACUCCUUUCAGAUUUUCCACUGCAACUGUUUGCUGUGUGCCAGGGAAAAGCGAGUUGUCACACUUGUCCGUGGAUAAGAGAGACUGGGCUGGAAGCAUGUGGCGGGUCCUUGGAGGCUGGCAGCCAGGGCAUGUGGGCCCACGUGGAGCCCUGGCGUGGGCUGUGCUGGACCAGCUGUGGCCCCGGGGCAGCCGUGCUGUGGCCAGUGCAGGCUCCAUGGGCCAGGACCAGGAGUUCAGCUACGUGGUGGUGGGCGCCGGCUCCGCUGGCUGCGUGCUGGCCAAUCGGCUAACGGAGGACCGGGAUCAGACGGUGCUGCUGCUGGAGGCUGGGCCCAAGGACUUGCUUGUGGGCAGCAAGCGGCUCCUGUGGAAGAUCCAUAUGCCCGCAGCCCUCGUAGCCAAUCUGUGUGAUGACAAGUACAACUGGUACUACCACACGGAGCCGCAGCCUGGCAUGGAUGGCCGUGUACUGUUCUGGCCGCGAGGUCGGGUCUGGGGGGGCUCCUCGUCCCUCAACGCCAUGGUCUACAUCCGCGGACACGCCGAGGACUACAAUCGCUGGCACCUCCAAGGAGCGGAGGGUUGGGACUAUUCGCACUGCCUGCCCUACUUCCGCAAGGCGCAGAGCCACGAGCUCGGUGCUGACAGGUACCGCGGUGGUGACGGCCCGCUGCACGUGACUCGGGGCAAGACCAACCACCCCUUGCACCAGGCCUUCUUGCAGGCAACACAGCAGGCUGGUUACCCCUUCACUGAAGACAUGAACGGCUUCCAGCAGGAGGGCUUCGGCUGGAUGGACAUGACCAUUCACCAAGGCAAGCGCUGGAGUGCAGCCUGUGCCUACCUGCACCCAGCACUGAGCCGCCCCAACCUCAGGGCUGAGACCCAGACACUUGUGAGCAGAGUGCUGUUUGAGGGCACACGUGCAGUGGGCGUGGAGUACUUCAAGAACGGUCAGAGCCACAAGGCGUAUGCCAGAAGGGAGGUGAUCCUGAGUGGGGGUGCCAUCAACUCGCCACAGUUGCUCAUGCUCUCUGGUGUUGGGAAUGCAGAUGACCUCAAGAAACUGGGCAUCCCUGUCGUGUGCCACCUGCCUGGGGUUGGCCAGAACCUGCAAGACCACCUGGAGAUCUACAUUCAGCAGGCGUGCACACGCCCCAUUACCCUCCACUCAGCCCAAAAGCCCCUGAGGAAGGUCAGCAUUGGUCUGGAGUGGCUCUGGAGAUUCACAGGGGAUGGAGCCACAGCCCAUCUGGAAACUGGUGGGUUCAUCCGCAGUCAUCCUGGUGUCCCCCACCCAGACAUCCAGUUUCACUUCCUGCCAUCACAAGUGAUUGACCAUGGGCGGAAACCCACCCAGCAAGAAGCUUACCAGGUGCAUGUGGGGACCAUGAGGGGCACAAGUGUGGGCUGGCUCAAACUGAGAAGUGCCAACCCUCAGGACCACCCUGUGAUCCAUCCCAACUACUUGUCAACAGAAACUGAUAUUGAGGACUUCCGCCAGUGUGUGAAGCUGAGCAGAGAAAUUUUUGCACAGGAAGCCUGGGCUCCCUUCCGGGGCAAAGAGCUACUGCCAGGAAGCCACGUCCAGUCAGAUAAAGAGAUAGAUGCCUUUGUGCGGGCGAAAGCUGAUAGUGCUUACCACCCCUCGUGCACCUGUAAGAUGGGCCAGCCCUCUGAUCCCACUGCUGUGGUAGACCCUCAAACCAGGGUCCUUGGGGUGGAAAACCUCAGGGUUGUUGAUGCUUCCAUCAUGCCCAGCGUGGUCAGCGGCAACCUGAAUGCCCCCACAAUCAUGAUCGCAGAGAAAGCAGCUGACAUUAUCAAGGGGCAGCCUGUACUCUGGGACAAGGAUGUUCCUGUCUACAAGCCCCGGACUCUGGCCACCCAGCGUUAAGGCAGCCCCUGCCCGAGGAUGACAGAGGAGCCCAUGUAAAGCCCAGAGGACCAACGAACACAGCCUGUGCCCCAGGUGCUAUUUCCUAAAACUGUCGAGAACCUUGGAACUCAGAGACUCCCUGGCAGAGCAAUGGGAUGAACAGCACAUCUUUCUGUUAACAGAAAAGCAAGCCUUGACAAUUCUAAUGGUCCCCCAGCUGUCAGUCCCAGGGUGUGCAGCCCCAAUGCAUGUGUUCGCAUGAAGCUUCAGCCCUCAUUCAGUUGCAUGUAACAGCCCUCCAAGAGAACACAUCGCAUAGCAGCGUUGUGAAAGGCAACAGGAUACUGGAUGGACCCUGACACUCUAACCUCAUAGGUCACCACAGUGCCCCCCCUCCACCCAGAUCCCCUGCCCCAGUACCUCUUAUUUCUUAAGCAUCCCUGAGGAGUGGGAGUGGAUGCACUUCAUUCACCUGUGCCGUGACUUCUGUGUUAGAGAUACAGAAACAGCUUGCACGGGCAGCUGAGGAAGUCAGACCAGCGGAUGCCAUGGGGCUGACUAGCCAGUUGCACCUGUUCUGUAACUAACUGACCAGAGGAUAAUCAAAGUCAAAGCAAACCAAAGACAGUCACAACUCAUGUGGAUAAGAGGUACAAUAUGAAACUCGAAGAACUCUUGCCCAAAGAAAAGACUGCAAAUAGUCAUCUUGCCAUCUUAUGUAAAGAUAGGUUUAUAGUGACUCAAAAUAUUUUAGAAAAAUUUCUGACGUGUCAAAUUGUUUUGAACUCAAAAGUUUAUCCCCAAAAGAUUUUCACUGAAUUAAGUGAGAAUGGGUUCUAAUCCUUCUAGUUCUGUUUAGCCCGAGUAAAAAUACUAACUUCUAGAUUUUGGUGGGAAACUACAAUUGUUAGGACCCAUGGAUAUUGCUGCAGUUCAAAUACGGUACAAUAAUUACAAAAUAUAGACCAUCUCUUUACAAAUACAAAUUGUAUAUUACAAGUCAUGUACAGUAAAUCUAUAAUUUUUAAACAAACUAGUGUAUCUAAGUUUACCUGGUUUGCAAGUGCGUUACUCUUCCAGUUUACAGUUGCCCUUAGUGUGAUAGUCAGAACUGACUACCGAGUGAUGGUCUCUUAUGUAAACUGGCAUCGCAUUAACAGAAAACCUUGUCUGUCCAGUCCUGCCCCCCUCGCCGUGACCGCUGGUGGCUGGUGGCUGGGUUCUGAUGCAUACCAUUCAGAACAGCUGCACAGGAACCAGGAAGCAGUAUGUUUGGGGGAGGGGUUUAAAAAUGGAUAUGCUGGGCCCAGUGAGCAAUAUGCUAGACCAGUGGCUGAGGUAAUGACAUAGGUGUGGUGAUUGUCAUCACCUUUAACCUGCCUGCCAUGCCUUCAGGUGAGUGGGCAGGGGCGUGUGCCCUGGGGGUGAGACUUGGACUCCUGGCAACUCAUCUGGCUUCCAAACCGGCCAGGCUGCCUGAGCCUUAUCCAUCUUCUCGAGGGGCCAGACAUGCCGUUUUCUGUGACUGGGCCUGACCACAUGCUCAGAACCUGUUCCUACCAGGUUUAUGGCUUCCUUGAGGCGUGAUACCACUUGUACAAAAGUAUAAUUG